AAUCUGCCCUGCACUCUGGGACAAGCCCUGGAAACGGGGUCUAAUACCGGAUACUGACCCGCUUGGGCAUCCAAGCGGUUCGAAAGCUCCGGCGGUGCAGGAUGAGCCCGCGGCCUAUCAGCUUGUUGGUGAGGUAAUGGCUCACCAAGGCGACGACGGGUAGCCGGCCUGAGAGGGCGACCGGCCACACUGGGACUGAGACACGGCCCAGACUCCUACGGGAGGCAGCAGUGGGGAAUAUUGCACAAUGGGCGAAAGCCUGAUGCAGCGACGCCGCGUGAGGGAUGACGGCCUUCGGGUUGUAAACCUCUUUCAGCAGGGAAGAAGCGAAAGUGACGGUACCUGCAGAAGAAGCGCCGGCUAACUACGUGCCAGCAGCCGCGGUAAUACGUAGGGCGCGAGCGUUGUCCGGAAUUAUUGGGCGUAAAGAGCUCGUAGGCGGCUUGUCACGUCGGUUGUGAAAGCCCGGGGCUUAACCCCGGGUCUGCAGUCGAUACGGGCAGGCUAGAGUUCGGUAGGGGAGAUCGGAAUUCCUGGUGUAGCGGUGAAAUGCGCAGAUAUCAGGAGGAACACCGGUGGCGAAGGCGGAUCUCUGGGCCGAUACUGACGCUGAGGAGCGAAAGCGUGGGGAGCGAACAGGAUUAGAUACCCUGGUAGUCCACGCCGUAAACGGUGGGCACUAGGUGUGGGCGACAUUCCACGUCGUCCGUGCCGCAGCUAACGCAUUAAGUGCCCCGCCUGGGGAGUACGGCCGCAAGGCUAAAACUCAAAGGAAUUGACGGGG
rnacentral:rRNA from 1 species